CACGCCGUAAACGGUGGGUACUAGGUGUGGGUUUCCUUCCUUGGGAUCCGUGCCGUAGCUAACGCAUUAAGUACCCCGCCUGGGGAGUACGGCCGCAAGGCUAAAACUCAAAGAAAUUGACGGGGGCCCGCACAAGCGGCGGAGCAUGUGGAUUAAUUCGAUGCAACGCGAAGAACCUUACCUGGGUUUGACAUGCACAGGACGACUGCAGAGAUGUGGUUUCCCUUGUGGCCUGUGUGCAGGUGG
rnacentral:rRNA from 1 species